AUAUACAGCAAUAGCACCAUGAGAACACCCGAUCUCAUCUGAUCUCAGAAGCUAAGCAGGGUCGGGUUCAAUUACUACAUGGAUGGGUGGCCAUUUAUAUACCUGAAUAUAUAUAUAUA
rnacentral:rRNA from 1 species